GCCCAGGGCAGGGGGCGCGCAGGGGAUGCCGGGCAGCAAGCGUUUCCACGGAGACGCGCCCCGCGACCACAGAACGGAAUGGCGCGGGGGCAGCAGGCCGUUGGGGGCCCGACUCCGCAAAGAAGGCGUCUUGGGACGGGGCCGCUAGCGGCCCGGAGUCCGGCCCCGCCCGCCGCUCGUAAUGUCGACCCCGGAGAUAAACGCCUCGGAGCCUCCUUCGGCUCCAACGCAUAAAGUGGGCUUCGCCAAAUACAGAUGGGAAUGCAAGCAAAGCUCCUACAACUACUUCAUCAAAACCGGUUCCGGGGAUUUAAAAGUGCUGUCUGUGAUAUUAUUGAUAGUGUCAUUUAUCUUGAUGAAAGAAACCCAAACAGCCAAUGUGUUCGUUCCAGUGGUCUUAAUGAUAGAGUCCUUCCUCUUUUUUUUCUUCAUUUUUGCUAAUGUCCUGGCAUUCCCAAGAUAUUUAACAAAGCUGAUCUGGCCCAUUUUUAUCCCAGCUCAAAUCUCACAGGACAACUUUCUAGAUCUUCCUUAAUUUUGAUGGAAUCUAUUCAUCACAAUGCUUGAAACUUAGACAUGCUCAAUGACUUUUUUGCAUUUAUAUACCUUGCAUAUGUUGGUUUCUAUUCAAUAAUUUACCCACCAGCCACCUUGGAGAAAUUAUACUGGCAAGUAGUUGGACUCAUACUUUCUGUUGCCUUCUUGUCUAUACUAGAUGUUAUUUUACAAGGCCGGCAUUUUUUGGAUUGGAGGACAAAAACUGGAAUAAAGUACAAAAGUGACUCUGCAACCAGAUCGAAGUCUCUGGACACUUAAAAUCUCAUAAAAAGCACAAAUAUGUAUCAUUUUUCUUUUUACUAGGAUGAUUUUCUUUUCCACUAAAAUUCCCAUUUUGACAUUUUCAUGGCAAAGCGCUUUCCCAAAAAAUAAAGAAUGUAUAAAAGUCUUUCCCAGAGGAAUACCAAUUUUAGCCUUACCAAAUACAGUUCUCUUCUAAUACCUCACCUUGGCAUAGACAGGAAUAGUCCUGGGUUCUCUGAGGCCAAAACAGCAGAAUUCAUUUUAAGUGCUUUAUAAAUGAUUCUUGUCUACCUGCCUGCAGGCUCUACCAGAUUGAGGCAGUCUUGAAUUUGGGCCUGGUAAUACCACAUCUGUCAUCAAGACACAAGACCUGCUGUUCAGAAGUACGUAACACUAUGAUAGCUUCAGGAUAACAGAAAUUUGGUUCACAGUAAUUCACUGGAACAUUUGCCGAGUCAAAAAUUGUGACCUGUAUUAGGGGAUGGGAGGCCUAAACUCAAGGGAUCAGAUCCUUGAAGAACUGAAAUAUCAAAUAAAAAAAUUCAGCUGGAAGAAUCUUUUGGUUUCUUAUAGGACAUAUUUUGUACUCAUUUAUUAACCUUAAUUGUCAGACCUUGGAAGGGAUCUUAGAAU
rnacentral:lncRNA from 1 species